CCAGACUCCUACGGGAGGCAGCAGUAGGGAAUCUUCCGCAAUGGACGAAAGUCUGACGGAGCAACGCCGCGUGAGUGAAGAAGGUUUUCGGAUCGUAAAACUCUGUUGUCAGGGAAGAACAAGUACCAUAGUAACUGAUGGUACCUUGACGGUACCUGACCAGAAAGCCACGGCUAACUACGUGCCAGCAGCCGCGGUAAUACGUAGGUGGCAAGCGUUGUCCGGAUUUAUUGGGCGUAAAGCGCGCGCAGGCGGUCUUUUAAGUCUGAUGUGAAAGCCCACGGCUCAACCGUGGAGGGUCAUUGGAAACUGGGAGACUUGAGUGCAGAAGAGGAGAGUGGAAUUCCACGUGUAGCGGUGAAAUGCGUAGAGAUGUGGAGGAACACCAGUGGCGAAGGCGACUCUCUGGUCUGUAACUGACGCUGAGGCGCGAAAGCGUGGGGAGCGAACAGGAUUAGAUACCCUGGUAGUCCACGCCGUAAACGAUGAGUGCUAAGUGUUAGAGGGUUUCCGCCCUUUAGUGCUGCAGCUAACGCAUUAAGCACUCCGCCUGGGGAGUACGGCCGCAAGGCUGAAACUCAAAGGAAUUGACGGGGGCCCGCACAAGCGGUGGAGCAUGUGGUUUAAUUCGAAGCAACGCGAAGAACCUUACCAGGUCUUGACAUCCUCUGACAACUCUAGAGAUAGAGCGUUCCCCUUCGGGGGACAGAGUGACAGGUGGUGCAUGGUUGUCGUCAGCUCGUGUCGUGAGAUGUUGGGUUAAGUCCCGCAACGAGCGCAACCCUUGAUCUUAGUUGCCAGCAUUCAGUUGGGCACUCUAAGGUGACUGCCGGUGACAAACCGGAGGAAGGUGGGGAUGACGUCAAAUCAUCAUGCCCCUUAUGACCUGGGCUACACACGUGCUACAAUGGAUGGUACAAAGGGCAGCAAAGCCGCGAGGCCGAGCGAAUCCCAUAAAGCCAUUCUC
rnacentral:rRNA from 1 species